CUGUUCCUUUUUUGCAACAUGUUUAUUGAGAAGCAACUGCGUUCCUGCCUGCCCAGAGCUCGAAGUGUUAGGGGCACCAGUCUGAUGGAGAUCCGAACAGUGUAGGACCACAGCCCGGCAAAGGGGCACUCAGCGUGGGUUUGGGAUUAAGUGAGAACCACUUACCUUUGCAGCUAGCCUCGAGCCCUGCACCCAGGACCUGAAGCUCAGGGAGGGAGGGAGGCUGUCCAACCGGCAAGGGGCCUGGGCAGAACUUCCUGAGAAGGCUCAAGAAGCCUGGUUCACCACAAUGGUCUGUGGGUGGGUGCCUGCCUUUCCUCAACAUCCUUGGACUGCCAGGUGGCACAUGCCUGUAAACCCAGCACUCAGGAGGCUGAGACAGGAGGACUACCAUGGAGUUCCAGGCCAACCUGGGGUACAUGGUUCAAGGCCAGCCUGAACUACAUAGCAAGACUGUCAACUUCAAAGGAAAAAAAGCCCCCAGACCUCAGUCUAUUUUGUCCACCUGAGAAAUGGGGCUAGGUGCUCUACUAUCUGUGACAACAAGCUGCAGAGAACAAGCAAAAGCACAGCCCUGCCUGGGAGCAGGCAGAACAGCUGCAACUGCCCCACCCACCCUGCCUGCCCGGCCAGGAGUCUGGCAGAGUCCCAGUCCCCUCUGGCCUCAGUGUUUGAUAUGGACCCAGCUCUCAUGGUGAUGGUGAGGCUGAAUCUGUAGCUAAAAAUACCCAGGAGCCCAGCCAGCUGCUCAGUGCUUCCUUGGAGGCCUCGUGGCUGGCACAGGAGCCAGACACACCUGCCCUCCCCAGGCUGCUUCCAAGUGGCAAGGUGUCCCGGGACCCUCACCACCCUCUUGCUCACAAUGGGGUCCUGGAGACAGCGAGCUGGUUCCUGCCACAAGAUCUGCUGGGCCCCAGGAAGGUCGGGGAGAUACCAGGUGGCUUUUGUGGGGCGAGCUCAUGUGUGAUUACCCUGCCACAGGGAGGCCAACGGGGACUCUGAGCCUGGAGAGAAAUGGGCAAAGUCCAGCUACCACAAGCCAGGUGGGGGCUGAUGACGCCCACUUCCGGGGCGUUGGAAACCAUAAAUCAAUUAUUUAACACCCGGCUGGUGAGAGAUAAAAACCCCAGGCCCAGGAAGGAGCCUGGACACCCAAGGGCCCGGAGGGAGGAAAUGGCGACCAGGCCACUUAUCUGCCAAGGUACCUGGCACCUGGCCGCAGGUCUCUGCAAGCCCCAGCGGCCACCAGCACUGGAGGGCAGUGACUUUCCACAGCACAAAGCACUGCCCGCACCCAGCCGCUCGCCACCUGCGGUCACAGGUACUGGGGCUGACGCAGAAGUGGAAGCCAGGAGUUCGGGCAACAAGGCAGGAUCCUAUCUUUUCAACACUUUGGAACGGCUCACAAGGUUACACCCAGUUCUCUGCUCCAGUCCCGCGGGCAGGGGUUGCUGGGGGGUCACAGGCAGCUGGAGAACGCACAGGGUAGGUGACUCCACAACGUUUGGACGCCUCUCUCCUUGGUCCGAGCAGCGGCAGCCAUCUCCACCCCCAGGGUCCUAAAUAAAGGUCAGAUUCCACGCUCAGGCUCCCACUGGAGAUGCCCGGAAGGGGCGGGGACACAGGCGGCUCUUAGUAAGGCCGCGCAGGCCACCCCCCAGGCCAGUCGGCCGCCCUUCCGCCGGCGUGGCCCUCUCUCUGCAGGCCACAGCAGCCCCGCCCCAGGAUCGGGGUGGCGGUGUACGCCCCCGCUCGGGGGGCGGAGGAGGAGGAACAGAAGGACAGAGCGCCCCGCCCUACCGGGCUCCAGGACGCCGGGGAUGCUGGGGGAGGGGACGCGACGGUCACGGGGUCGGAAGCAGGGCUGGGAGAAGCGGGAUGAGCCCUUUCUUUAGCAGAGGACAUUGGUCACUGAAGACCCAGCUGAGAGCCAACGACAGCACGCAGGCUACUUCCAACCCCGCAGCUCCGGGGCCGGGGUGCCAGCAGACGGCGGGCCCAGGGCCAGGGGAGCCCAAAAUAACCCAGACAGCUUCGGCCGGAAGGUGCCACGAGCCCGGGCUCCGGGUGAAGACACCUGGAGCUUGGGUGCUAGUGGUGGCCUCGCGUGGCUGAUCCCAAAUCAGGCCUCGGCCUCCAGCGAGACUCUAACAACAGGGAAGGAGGAGGAGCCGAGCAGCCGACUGACAGCCCCUCCCCUGCCCGAGGCCGGGCCACGUGCUGGGGGGUGGGGUGGGCGGGGAUCCGGAGACGGGGGGGGGCCUCCCCGCGCUGCCACUCCCCGCACCCGGAGCUCACGAAGGCCCAGUGGUGCGGGCCGCUUGGAGGCUGGCCGGUAAUCGCGCUUAAUCCUCCCACCACCCUCUCGGCAAGCCUCGCCACGGCCACUCUCCGGCAGAGACACCCGCCCAAGGUCACCGGCGUCCACAUUCCAACCCACGGCAGCCUGGCCCAGGUGCCCCUCGGUUGAGCACGCAGGUGCCUGCAACAAAGCCUGCCCGGCUCCCCCAGGCCACAGCUCGGCGGUCAUGCUGGUUUGGGGGGGCAGGGCGGCAGCGAGAUCGGCGCCACCUGGACCCAAAUGGCUCGGUCAAAGUAAUCGCAAACUAGGGCUCACGUGGGGACAGGGCGUAGAGAUCAAGGGCCACGCCAUCUCCAGCUGCGGAGCUUCUUGGACACGAGGAGGGGGCGAAUUACGCGAGGUCGGCUUGUGUAAGAACAAGAGCCGCACUGAGCAGGAAGCCACUGCUAUGUGCCCAGCGCCUACCUCCCAGCCCAGAGGAGCUCAGAACACAACACGGGACCUUGUUAGAAAUCCAAGUUCUCAGGUUCCACCUGCUGAAUCGAGAACUCGGGGCCAGGGGCCCUUUGCAAGAGGUGGAUUCUGAUACCGGCUCGAGACAGACUAGCCACCCCAGCUCCAUUUUGUAGAUGGGGAAGCCGGGGCUCACGAGACCCAGCAGCUUAAGCAAGGUCACAGCUGGUCAGAGGCAGCUGAGGUUUCACAGGGAAACCAGGCCACAUGCGCUUGCUCAUUUAGGGAAGCAGGAGGAAACUGGGAAUCCCGGGACAGGGAGGACAGUCAAGGAAACCUCUUUGUCCAGGAAAGCUGGCCCAGAUCUCUGGUUCUCGUGUUCUUUGCCUCUCUAGCACCCGGACAUAAGAGGGUGGUUGCUCUACAGUCACCCUAAAAUCCCCCACGGGGGCUGGAAGGCAGGGCAGCAGCACCUGGGCUUCCAGGCAGUGGCCUGUGCCUUUCAGAAGGCACCCAGAGCCAGCCCCCCCCGCCAAAAAACCCCGAUACUUGUUAGCCUGGCCUCUAGUAAGCAGCUAAAUUCGGCAGAGAAUUGCCCGCCCCAAAUGCCUGACAACAGAAGCUGGCAGGCGGAGCUGAAGUGCCCCAGCAGGCCGCCCAUUUCACACUCAGCCGCCACAUCUGUGUGGGGGAGGGGCUGCAGAACCAGCCCGGCAGGUGGGGGACACCCGCCCUCCCCUGGGCUGCAGGCCAGAGCUCCUCAGUCUCCCUCACAGCCAGGCACAGGGCUGUCACCUACCUUUGACGGGAGGAUUGUCAAACUAGGCCUGCUCCUGCUGUCCAAGGGAAGGAAGGGUUGUCCACUCCGCGGGUAACCGGUUGUUGCCCCUUCUCCAGCCAAGAACCUGGGGAAAGAAUGUGGAAGGCCUGUCAGGGCAGCCCCCAGCUUGUGGGUCAGAGACUGUGACUGUCCAAAUGCAAACCUGUCGGUAUCCUAGACAGACUCGCCAACGCCACCCCCCUUGCACAGCUGCCAAGGCGGCCCUCAGGGUGGAAUGGAUUGGGGUGGGGGGGUGAGCCACGAAGAGUUCAGCCCAGGCGAGGAGUGGCGGGAGGCGACUCAUCUGCAUUUCCAAAGGCCCGCCCCGUCAGCAUCCCCUCCCCCAGUAAGGCCGAGAUCUGAGGCGCUACCGCAGGGUCGGGGCUGGCUCGGGGAUCCCGGAGUGGGGGUGGCUGGCGGGUGGGGGAGGCCCACUCGGCUUUCCUAGGCCCCAACCCCCACCAGCAGCCCCAAGGGCUGGGAUGGAGGGGUGUGCCCUGGGCGGCCAAAUGGGGCAUCUGCGGCCACAGCGAGGCCCUCCAGGCCCCAAGUGGGAACAAAAGGGGACACCCGCCCCUGUGGCUCGGCCCUCCAGGGGCGAUCGGAAGGCGGGGCCGGUGGGCAGCGGGGGUGGGGGUGGGGUGGCCUGGGGAGCCCUUGACGAUGGCUUCCGCCUGCCAGCGAGGUCCCCGAGUCCAGGACGCCACGGUGACCAGGGUCCCCGCCUCCUCGGCCGCAGGCGGCGCGCGCCGCUCCCGAGGCCCGCGGACCCCGGAGCGGCCGGGGCAACCCCUCCCCGGGUCCCCAACGACACCCAGGAGGAAGGUGGACGAGGCGGGCCGGCGCCGUAGGCGCCGCAGCCCUGCCC
rnacentral:lncRNA from 1 species